AUUUUUAUCUUUAAGUUUUUUGAACUGCACUCCACUAAAGACAAGAAGGGCAGCCGGUGCAUUAAAGCUCCCACUAUGCACGGGGUCGGGGGAGCGUCUGGACCAUAAGGGUCUAUUGUAUGCAGUCCUUGCAUUUCUGCCAUAGGUUGUUUCCACGACUUGAACCUGUGACCUUCUGAUUACAUGGCAACAACUUUGCUUGGUACUCCAAGACUCUUCUUUAGCUCCACAAAAGACAAAUGUAUACAAACGAUGCCCAUUAUAAAAUGUUGGACUUGAAAGGAAGAAAUGCAAAUCAAGAACUUCUCUUCUUCUUUUGCAUUUUAUCAAAAUAAUUUUGGUUCUUAAUACAAAUGGUGGCAAGGGCUAUGAUGAUUGGUUUCCUUUUAUUAAUCUACUGUAUCGAUAUUUCUGCUUCAGUUAGGAACAUAUCUACUGACGAAUAUGCUCCUUUAGCUUUCAAAGCACAAAUAACCAACGAUCCUGAUGAAACUCUGUCCAAAAACUGGACAAAAGGGACUGAAGUUUGCAGUUGGAUUGGUGUUUCUUGCAGCACAAGACAUCAACGAGUCGUCUCACUAAAUCUCAAAAGCCUUAAAAUUACGAGGGCCGAUUCCAAAAGAAAUAGGGAACCUCUCCUUCCUUAGUUUCUUGAAAAUUGGGAACAACAUGUUUACUGGUGAAAUCACUGAGGAAAUCGGGCGUCUGAGGCAUUUAAAGUACUUGUCUUUGCAAAUGAAUAAUCUCACUGGUCAAAUCCCACAAAGCAUUGGAUUUCUCUCGAGGCUUGAAGUUGUUGAUCUUCCGAAAAUGAUCUAUAUGGAAAUGUUCCAUUGUCCAUUUUCAACAUGUCAUCCUUAACGCUCAUCGAUUUGGCCCGGAAUUAUGAAUUAAGCGGGACUUUGCCAAAUGAGAUAUGCAGUGCUCUUCCAUUGUUGUAGUGUAUAUCAAUGGCAAAUAAUCAAUUAACGGUUGAACUUCCCAGUGGUUUAGAUAAAUGCACCCAACUUGAAGCUCUGUCCUUGUCUUAUAACAAAUUCACAGGAAAUUUACCAAGACAUAUGUGGAACAUGUCAAAGGUUCAAGAUAUAUUUCUUGGAUGGAAUAACUUGAUAGCUAAUAAUUGUUGGGUUCAAUAUAUAUGAAAAAUGUGAAUGGAAAAUGAAGGGAAAAUAGUGGAGAGAAAGAGAGAUGCUAAAUGGAAAAUGUACUCUUUAAGGGAAAGUUCACUAAUUCUCCCACAUUGGUGGGAGAAGGGAACUUUGAAGUGUUUAUAAUAAGAAACACUUACUCCAUAUGAAUAGUGAGGCAAGAACAAGGUGGUGCCUCUUGCUGUUGUCAUUGUUGCUCGCUUGGCUUUGGAUUUGGAUUUGGCAAAUGAUCAAUGAGAUUUAUCUUUUUGGACAAAA